UCUGGUUGAUCCUGCCGGAGGUUACUGCUAUCGAGGUUCGACUAAGCCAUGCGAGUCGAAUGUAGCAAUACAUGGCGUACUGCUCAGUAACACGUGGACAACCUACCCUUAGGUCGGGGAUAAACCCGGGAAACUGGGUAUAAUACCCGAUAGUCCUCGAAUGCUGGAAUGCAUCGAGGUCUAAAGCUCCGGCGCCUAAGGAUGGGUCUGCGGCCUAUCAGGUAGUAGUGGGUGUAGCGUACCUACUAGCCUACGACGGGUACGGGUUGUGAGAGCAAGAGCCCGGAGAUGGAUUCUGGGACACGAAUCCAGGCCCUACGGGGUGCAGCAGGCGCGAAAACUUUACAAUGCUGGCAACAGCGAUAAGGGGACCUCGAGUGCCAGGUUACAAAUCUGGCUGUCGUGAUGCCUAAAAAGCAUUGCAUAGCAAGGGCCGGGCAAGACCGGUGCCAGCCGCCGCGGUAACACCGGCGGCUCGAGUGGUAACCGUUAUUAUUGGGUCUAAAGGGUCUGUAGCCGGCCGGAUAAGUCUCUUGGGAAAUCUGGCAGCUUAACUGUCAGGCUUUCAGGAGAUACUGUCUGGCUCGAGGCCGGGAGAGGUGAGAGGUACUUCAGGGGUAGGGGUGAAAUCUUGUAAUCCUUGAAGGACCACCAGUGGCGAAGGCGUCUCACCAGAACGGACCUGACGGCAAGGGAC
rnacentral:rRNA from 1 species